rnacentral:rRNA from 1 species
CCCGCUGAACUUAAGCAUAUCAAUAAGCGGAGGAAAAGAAACCAACAGGGAUUGCCCUAGUAACGGCGAGUGAAGCGGCAACAGCUCAAAUUUGAAAUCUGGCUUCGGCCCGAGUUGUAAUUUGCAGAGGAAGAUUCUGGCGACGCGCCGUCCGAGUCCCCUGGAACGGGGCGCCAUAGAGGGUGAGAGCCCCGUAUGGACGGAUGCCUAGCCUGUGUGAAUCUCCUUCGACGAGUCGAGUAGUUUGGGAAUGCUGCUCAAAAUGGGAGGUAAAUUCCUUCUAAAGCUAAAUAUUGGCCAGAGACCGAUAGCGCACAAGUAGAGUGAUCGAAAGAUGAAAAGCACUUUGAAAAGAGGGUUAAACAGCACGUGAAAUUGUUGAAAGGGAAGCGCUUGUGACCAGACUUGCGCCUGGCUGAUCAUCCGGUGUUCUCACCGGUGCACUCUGCCAGGCUCAGGCCAGCAUCAGUUUUGGUGGGGGGAUAAAGGUCUUAGGAAUGUAGCUCCUCCGGGAGUGUUAUAGCCUGGGGCGUAAUGCCCUCGCUGGGACUGAGGUUCGCGCAUCUGCAAGGAUGCUGGCGUAAUGGUCAUCAGCGACCCGUCUUGAAACACGG